rnacentral:lncRNA from 1 species
UUAUCAUUCACCAUAAUUCAGUCUUUCUCUACAUUUCAAAAAUUCUUUGAAAAAUGAAGAACUAAACAACUCCACAGCUCUAAAUCCUAAAUCAAUACAUCACUGAUCAAAAACAAAAUAACCCCAUAGAAAGGAGAGAGAAACCUAAAUUUAUUCACCAUUUCUAAGCCAAACGAUCAAGAUCCACACAAUAAAGCUGAUCGAGUCCACUGAUCCCGUUGAGGCAAGGAGGCCGUUGAGGGAAUAAAGACCACCAGGCUGCAGGUCACUGGAAAAGGAUCGGAAGGCAAGGAAACAAGAAUAAGCUAGGUAAUAAUUCUCAAACCUUAUCUGUUGGUGGAAGUUUGUUGAUGGUUGAUGAUGAGGAGAUUUAUGGAGGACGAGCAUACUUUUAUAAUGAAGGAAGUGUUUGGUUAUUUUCUUUACUAUGAAUCAUAGAUAUUACCUAGGCGAAUCCAAAGAAUAUAUGAUAGAUCCUAGAACCAGAAUAACAUAUAACGAUUAUAUGAUGAUAAUAGACUUUAAUUUAGGAUCAUAUAAACAAGAUUCAUAUCUGUUAAGUAAAGAAGAGCUUGUUAGAACAGAAGAUUUGUUAGCCGUAUUCUCACUAGACCUUCCUCAGGAAAUAAAGCGAAAAAUAAUAAACCAUAUCUAAAUAGAUAACCUAAAGCAUAACAUAAUUAUGUUAACAAUAGAACAAGGAACUGAUAUAGCUUUGGCAUAUAUAGAAGAUGAAAAUCGGGAAGCUGGACAGUCAUACAUAAAUUAUAUAGAAAAUUCAGAUAAUGAAGAAAUUGAAUUAUAAUUUGGAAAAAGUAUAUAGGCUGGAAACCAAAGUGUGCGGGCUACUGGUCAAAAGGAGAAUUAAAUAUCUUGGUUGAAUUGUCAAGGAUCUCAUCACUCUGGCAUAACAAAGCUACGUACUUUUAAACCAAAUAUACAUAGUAAAAAUUUUUCAUAUAACUGAUUUUAAAUAUAUUUUGGUAAUAGUAGUUGAUUGUUAAUUUAUUGAAUAAUUUAUUUUGAAAUUUAGUUUUUUUCUGUAAUUUAUAGUUAAAUAAAGCAAAGGCAAAAGAUGGUAUCAGAGCCAUAGAAAUUAUGAAUCCAAUAAGAAACAUCGUCGAUAGUUUAUAUACAUUAAAGGUAUAUAAUAAAGAAGAUAUAAAAAACUAAGUAAAAGCUUUGAAAACCGAUAAAAAUAAUAUAAGAAAUAUAGAACUCGAAUUAACAGAGGAACUUAGAGAAAGAAAUAUAGAUACAAUAGGAGGAGAAAUUUUAAUAGAAAAGAAAAUGAAAUUUAUAGAUGAGUUUAUAAAAUUUCUAAUAUGCUGGUAUAAGAAGGAAGCAUUAUGAAUCAUCAUAAUCAACAUGCAUUUAACAUAAUGCAUGAAUUAGCAGAUUGUAUAGAUCAUAUGAUUUUAGGAUGGGAAACCAUACUAAAUACAUAUAUAAGCCUAAUAACUCAGAAAAUAGAAUUGCUAGAACAAGAAAGAAUAGGAAUAAUAAAUUUAGGACCAGAAGUCUAUUCGGAAGUUAUAGAUUUAUAUGAAUUCGAUAACCAUUUAAUAUUAUUUAAAGAAAUAAACAAAACCUUAGAAAAAAUGAGAAAUAGAUGUAGAAGAGAUGGAAGAAGGCAAAUACAUCCAUAAUUGUAAAUGUUAAAGAAUAAAAGGACCCAUAAGAAAUUAGCCAAAAAGGAAAAAGACAAAAGACGUAAGGUACGUUGAUUGUAACUUAGGUACUCCCCAAAUAAAUUCACAAGUAGCUGGUGAAUGAUUUAAUAAUACAACAGCCAACAAAAAUGACAAACUGUAUUAAGUCGACAAAGGGGAAGAUAUUUUUUUUUCAAAUGUGAGUUUAUUAGUCAAAAGUAUAUUUAAGUCUAAUAAUUGAAGAAAAUUGACAUAUGUUUUACCUUUCUUUUCUAAUUUUUUAAAUCUGUUUCUUACUUUACUUUCUUACUAAAGUCCUAUUUUAGCUUUAUUUUAUUAUUUAAAAAUUGAAUUAUUAUCAUACUUGCUCUCCUAAACUUUAGGCUCCAUUUUAAUACAUAGUUCCACUAAAAAAAUUAAUUUUUAUUUAUUUUCUUGUUUAAAAUGAAGGAUUUCAAUAUUUCUCAAUCAUUUACCAUCAAAUCUUACUCGAAUUUAGCCCCCACUGAGAUUUAGUGAAGGAUUAUUCUCUAUUUUGAAAGUGAAAUUUUCAUCAAUAGCUUAUUUGCUUAAUGAUUUCUACUUAAAAAGAAUUAUUCAACACAAUUUUUGUUUAUUUCCGAUUAAAACACAAUUUAUUAUUCUUUAUAAUCUCUCAAAAUUAGGAGUCAGUUUGGUGAUGUUGUACCUUUUAAAAUAAUUAUUGUUUAUUAUUCUAUAGAACUAAUUAGUUAUGAAGAGAAUCAAUUAAAUGUUUAUUAAAAUUUAUUUUUAAAGGUGUUGUGAAUUUUAAACUCAAUCGUGUGUGUUUGGUAACCUUAGUGUUAAAUUGCUAUAAGAAUGCAAACGACUAAAAUGGACAUAAUGCUCAACAAAAUUUACUUGCACAUUUAUAUACAUUUUAUAUAAUAUAUUUCUGUUGCGUUGUAGAUAAUAAUUGCCAACUUAAAGAUAUAUUUAUAUUUUAUUAAUUUUAAUUCUUUAAUUUUGUUAUCUCAAUAGUCAAUAUAAAUGGUAAUAAUAAUAAUAAUCUUUUAUAAUUUAUUAAUUUUAUUUCCUAGUUAAAUAAGAAUAGUUUUAUAUAAGGAUAUUUACAUAUUGCAUUCUGCAAAUUGGACACAAAUUUAUAUCGGAUCCACGAUUUUACAGAUUAUAUAUUUUCAAUCUAAUCUAAUCUAUAGAUUAGUGACACAACUUAAAAGUAAUUUUUAACUCUCAAGUAUAAGAGUGUCUUGUUGUAUUAUAACUCGGUGAGUCCGAGGUCGAUCCACAGAGAAAAGAUUUAAUUAGUUUAUUUUAUUUUAUCUAAAAAUUAAAAUUAAAAUUUGAAUAUAAACAACUUAAUUUAAAUGAAACUAUGGAAUUGAACUAGUUAGGGUUAUGGAUCCACUCUUAGAAAUAAAUAAAACUUAAUAAAUUCUUUUUGCCAAUUUGUUUUAGAUUUAUUACCCAAAAGAUUAAUUAUACAAAUUAUUAUUAUUUUCCCUUUAAUUUUAUGAUGGAUUAAGUAUUUAUUGUGCCAAAAUUUAAUUUGUCUACAAUAAGUCAAAAUACCAUUUCACCAUGCCUUAUAUUAAGAUCUUAAGAAUUUAUUGUGCCAAAUUCAUUUGUUUGUCUACAAUAAAUCAAAUUUUCAAAAUAUAAAACAUGUAUAAAAUUAAAUAGAAAAUAAUUUAAUUUAUAAAAUUAAACAUAGAAUUUGAUUAAAUCAUAUUUAUUUCUUAAGAGUUUCACCUUCCCCUAACUAAUAUUAUUUAGUUAAGCAUAAUUAAAAUAAAAAGAAGAAGUAAAAUUGAAUUACUUAUAAUUAAAAGAAAUAAAAACAACUAAAAUUGGAAAUAAAACUAAUUUUAUUAAUGAAAAUAAUUAUACAAAAUAUUAAAAACACACCUGGAAAUCAAGAUUACAAGGAGAUGGAGAGAAUUUGAGAAGAAGAGAGUUGUAGAGAGAUCAUUAAAACAUAAAAAUGAGGCCUUAUUUAUAGAAAAAUAAAUUCAUAAUCCAGUGCUUUGCGGUCCAUCAUAGGCUCCAUGCAUGUGCUCCUCACAACCCUUAGAUCAAGAUCCAAUGGCUGGUCAAACUUCAAAAGUCAACAUCACACAUGGCAUCAUUUGACUCGUCCGAUUUGCCCAAAGAACGGUUGAGAUUUGGCGGGUUAAUGGGUGGAUCGGGUCGACCCGAAUACAAAGAUUCGGAUCCUCCAACUUGCUUCACCAACCAUUGCCACGUGGCACAAUCAUGGCCAUUGAAUCAUGAACGGUUGAGAUUUAGUCAAGAUUGCCAGUUAUCCCAUGCACUCAUAUCUAUUGUAAGCUCAUUUCAUCAUCCAAUCAGUGCUCGGUCAACAGGAAAAGUCAACUUUUUUUACACAAGCCCAAUUUUAAGCCGAUCUUGACUGAUCUUAAGGUUUUCGGACCUCCGGAAUCCAAAUUUGACCUCCGUUUAUCUGUUUGGAACCUCGAAGUACGUGAAAUUAAUAAUUUUCCUAAUAAACACAUAAAAAUACACAAAAUUAAAUAUAUUUAAAACAUAAUUCAUAAUUCAUAAUAUAUUACAUAAACACAAAUAUAAAUUAUAACAUAAGCAUAAAAUAACAUAUUAUCGCUUGAUAAUUAAACAAUUUUUAAUACUAAUCAAUUAGUAAAUGUAAUCAAAAUCCAAUCCAUACAUCUGGGAUUAAAUGCGGAUUUGCCACAAUCCACAUUCAAUCCAAUUUUUUUGCGGAUUCGAUGUGGAUUGAAACUUUUACGUCCUAUCAAAUCCACAAAGUAAUUAAAUAAAAAAUCUAAUACAACAAUAAUUUUACUAUUGAUCAAAUUUAAAAUUAGACAAGACCUAAAUAAAUUAAUAGUUUUAAUAUGUAUUCAGGAAUGUUACGUUAAUAGGUAUUAAUUCAAUCAACAUAUGUAUCAAAACAAAAAGAAUUUGGAAGCCAUAUAACCAUUUCAACCUUGCUCCAUAUCUCUCUCAAAUAAAGCUAUGUAAAAAUUGGAGUAAUAUGUGCUACACUACUCUUUCAUCUAAAGAUGUCAUUCAAAGUUUCAAAAUUUAAUACACCAAAAAGAAUACAAUAUCCUGAUAUAUUUAUAUCAAUAUAUGAAAAUUAAAUAAAAUUUUAGAGUUAAUAAAUACAAAAGUUGACACUUAAGAGCUUAGAUGAUUGUUGUCAAUGUCCAUCUCUAACUAAAUUUCAACUUAUUCAUUUACUAAUAGUACAACGUUUAUAAAUUUUAAAAUUAUAAAUUUAUUCAUAUACUAAUAGUACCACGUUUAUAAAUUUUAAAAUUAUAAAAUUUGUUGGAUUAUUCUGAUCAACCUUGCAACUCUGCUGAUGCAAUAACUAAACACAACCAAAGCAAGAACCCAAGAAGAACUGAUACCAACGCCAGACACAACAGAGCAAGAUAAAGAACUUUAAAGACUCAAGACAAAGAUAACGUGGUUCGGUACCAAGGUACCUACAUCCACGAGCAGGAACAACAGAGCUUAGAGUUUUAUUAGCAGAUGAACAAAGAAGGUUACAAUGGAGUCUCACAGAGAGCAAGAACUUGAUUACACUCACACAGAGAGUUUCUUCUCUCAACAAACUCACACAAUGUUCUUGAUAACCUCACACACGCUGAUCAGCCCUCUUUCUGAAGCUUCCUUUUUAUAGCUAUCAGUUAGUACAGCUGGUUAUAACAGCUAAUUAAACCACCUGGGGACCCACCCUUGCUGACUCAGCUUCCACCUCAGCUUGUAUAACCGAAUAUAACUAAUUUGGUUCCACAAAAUUAUAUAUAUAUAUAUAUAUAUAUAUAUAUAUAUAUAUAUAAUAUGUGAGUAUAUAUAUGAAAUUGUAUAAAAGAUAAAACUUUCUCAAGAUUAUAUUUUUCUAAAAGUAUGUAUAGGAUUGGUCAUUUUAUGAAACUUAUUUUAAAAAAUUAUCAAACACCAUAAUUAGCUUUAAAUUUCUUAAAAUCACCUUAUUUGUUGACAUGAAAAAAUAAUGUCAAAUACUUCAAUUACAAAUGAAUUUUUAUUAUUAAUCUAGUAGUUACAAAACAUUAUUUCUUCUCACGCACAAGAUGCACUCAUAAAUCACACAUUACAAUGAUGUAGGUGGAGUACAAAAACAUAUGCCUUUAGGACAGGUUUGUUUUCAUCUUUACAGCAAAAUCCAUUUUUAGAUGGACAAUCUCUCACACAAUUAGAAUCCUGGGUACAACGAAUUGGUAACCCUCCGGUGUAGGCUUCAGCACUUGGUAACUCAAAGAUUGUGGUGCCUGCAAAUUAAAUUUUAUUGUUUGAUAUCAAUAAUUCAUGAUAAUGGCAAAAUGAAACAAAAGGUGAAAUGUGUUAGUAAUUAACCAAAAAAAAAAGAAAGAGAUAUUUGGGACAUUGACUAACCAUAUGCAACAAUCAAAAGAACCAACAAGAAAGUUAAAGAGGCUUUAUACCUUUGUUGUAGUACAAAAAAAAAAAAAAAAUUGCGCAGAUGCUUCUUUGAGGGAAAAAGAAAAAUUGUAUGCAAAAACUUUAUUUUUGACCUAAUAUUUAUAGAGACGUAAUACAAAUUGUAAAAUGGUAAAGCCAUCUUUUAAGAGUGCGUUUGGGAUUGAGGCUGGGCAGCUGUAUCUUAAAAGCUACAGCACUAAAGUGUUUGGUAAACACUAGUUGUUGUAACUUUUAAGCUACAUUGAUAUAAUUUUUCACUUAUAUAAUACAAAAUCUACUAUAUUUUUAAUCAUUUUAUCAAAAUUAUUAUUUAAAAUUUACAUUUACUAUAUAUUAUUAAUUUUUAUUUCAUAAUUAUAGUUUUUUUUUCACAACAGCUCUAGCUUUUAAGCUACAGCACCUCAAUCCCAAACGCACCUUAAGUUAUUUUGUUUCCUUUUUAGUUUUUACUCACCGCGAUUUAAUAACAGAUACAUUCUUUUGCAACUUAUUGCUGAUAUAGAAAAAUUGCAACAAAUUAAAUAAAGUUACAAUAGAUGAUAUCCAAAUCAUUAAACGUGGCCCAAUAGGAAAAAAGAAAAAGAAAAGGAAAUUUUUUUUCUCCCCUAUCUUUGCGUUAAUACACACACCCACACACAUUUUCUAUUAUUGGUAAAAUCUCCAUCAAUCUUAGUCCAUAAAGUUAAUUGCUUCACUACAAUCUCAGUCACCAUCUGGACAGGGGAGGUAAGUUGAUGAUCCAUUUCACGUUGUUUAGAAAAUAAACUCCAAUAUUCAUGUAAUUUCCAUAAUCUCUCAAAAUUCUAUAUUAAAUAGGUCUAUUUGCAACUAAAUACCCUGAUUUUUUAUAUUAUCAAAUCAAUUUAUUUUCUUAAAGUUUUUUAAAUUUUAGUUUCAGCUCAUAUCGUGCCAUUGAGCUUUUGAUUUUCUUUAUAGCAACCAUUUCGGGCUUAAAAAACAAAAAAGGAUUCCAUCGAUCAAUUUGACAAUAUAUAUAUUUUUAGUGUUUUUAUGUGAUUAUGUCCUUUGCUCCAAUUCAAUCACAAUAAAUCUUCAAAUCAUUCACCAUCGUGAUUAAAUUUGAUAAUAUUAAUAACAAUGAUAACGACAAUAAAUGUUUAGUUGUUAAAUGGAUAGAAUAAAUUUGUAAAAAGAUUUGAAGCAUUACAAUUGGUGUAGAAUAGUGCUACAUAUAUUAAAUUUUUUGUUCUAAAAAAAUUAUUUCAGAUUAUGUGGUGUUUAUUAAUUAAUUAAUAAAAUCAUAUUAGCGGAAAGUGUGGAUCUCCCUUUUAAAUUGCUAGAAAUAAAAUUUUUAUUACUCGCAUUAAUGAGAUUUCUGACCAUCUGAACCAAGUGGGAGACAACAGGGUUUUUCCUAACUUUUGGCCCUUUCAAUAAAUACUCGAAAAAAGGACACCUACACCCUUAAGAUUUAAAAAAAUGGUCACAAGGAUCCCAAUUUUAAAAAAGGGAUAUUAAGACCCCUUUUUACCUAUAAUACCUUUUUAUUAUAAUAAUUAGAAAAUUGACUUUAACGGUUUUUAAUUAACACAAAUUAAAUAUAAAUAAUAUAAUCC